rnacentral:lncRNA from 1 species
UACAGAUGAGGAAGUUGAGGUUUGAAGACUUGCUCUGGUAGAAGGUAGCAGAAGCAAGAUCCAAACCCAGGUCAUUUGAAUCUAAAUCCAGCAUUCUUCUAUUGCAUCAAACUGCCUUACGAAGGUAGUGCAUGAUCAAUUUUGCGGAUGGAGAAAACUCAGAAAAGAACCUUGUACUCAAAGACAAAUCCAGUGCACUCUAUACCUGCCACACCAACUUCAUAUUAUUCAGGAGCAGAGAAAGCAUAAAAUGAUGUGUAGAAGGCUGGCCUUGGAAUCAGGAACAUCUGAGUUCAAGUGUUGCCUCUGAUACAGUCUAUCUAUGUGACCAUGGGCAAGUCACAAAACUUCUUUAUAUUGUGGAGAACUCUCUUAAGACCAUGAUUUACAGAUGAAUUGCUGUUUGCAGGGGUGAAGGGAGUUUACACACUGAGAAUUCUCCCAAGGUGGAGAAAUUACAGGUCUAGAACCUAUAUUUCAGGGAAAAAAAUAAAAACAUUCAAAGAGUGAUGGGAAUUUAUUUC